UGCUCUUAACCACGCGCACCCUUUUCAUUGUGUAGAGCUCCGUACAGAGGUGGGUCCCGGGUUCUCCUCCAGUGCUAUGUUCUCCUGCGGCGGAGCAAUUCGUUCGCCAGAACCCAGUUCGUUUGCAAUCGGAGAGGUCUUCGGCUCGAUGACAAAUUGGCGGUUUUGGUGGAUUUGAGUCCCGAGAUUUCGGUUCUUGUCUCCGGGUCGGUCAAUUUCUUCGCCACAUACUCGGUUUCGAGCUCGAAGCUUUUGUUUUUCCCGGUGGGUACUGUUGAUGACGAUGGUGGUGAUGAUAAGGGGUUUUCGUGAAAUUUAAGCGUGGGGUGAUUGAGUGCUCUAAGGCCGUCUUCUCGAUUAGAGUCUCGUUCGGGCCUUGAUUUUGGGGGAGGAAAACGAGGCUAGGGUCUUCAAUCUGUGUUUUUUCACGUGGAUUAGGAAGGUCGAGAAUUCAAAUUUGGAUAUGACUUCGACCAACCGGAAACUGUGGAUGAUAAAUCAGAAGGUCGAUGAUCGUAAUUGGCGCUGAUUAUGCCAAGUACAGAGGUGGCCAAAGUGGUGGUGUAGGAGUUUCAAAGGUUACUCGGAAUGGAUUAGGUGAAGCAGAAUUCCAUUUAGAUUGAGAUAAGAGUCAAGAGUCCACAGAAGGAGGUGCAUACUUUGUGCCAUUCAGAAGUGAUGAAGUUGGAUCCUUGACAUCCACAAGAAUGCUACAGACGUUGGUAAAGGCAAUCUCCAUUCAGGCAUUGUCCCCAAAAAAGUUUGUAAUCUUGGACUCGGCUUUUACACCUAUUGAAUUCUGUUGUUGGAUCAGAUACAUCUUUUCACAUGAAGUAGUUGCCCCACAUUAUAAAAGUGCAAAAGCCGGCUGUUCUUCCUGAUGUUUAUGAACCCUAACUGUUUGGAUAUCUGGUGCGUGUUCUUCUGUGCACAUGCUGGCAGCAUCUGGCAUGGAUUCGGCUGCAUGAUCCUUGCAAUUAGGGGUGUUCAACCGGGUAUACCCAGCCCGGGACCCGGGUUUCAAAUCCGGACUGGGUUCCAGCCCGGAUAAUGACCCGGUCCGGGUUUUUACAACUCGGAAAUCCGGGUUCCGGACUAUAC